UAGAGAUUCUCAGGUGUGAAAGAUCACAUAUUUGUUUGUUGUUUGAGAGGCUGUUGUCCGUGCACUCGCUGUGGAAUCAAACCUCUCUGAUCUGAACCAUCCUUCUGACUUUCUUCACACAGUUGUGUCUGGCCAGAGGUUUUAUCUGUGAGUUCUGCAGAGAAAGAGACAUCAUCUUUCCUUUUCAGAGUGUCACAUGUAAGCGCUGUCCAGUGUGCAGGGCCUGCUUUCACAAAUGCUGCUUUGUGGAAAAGAAGUGUCCCAAAUGUGCACGGAUCCAAUCACG